AAUUUUUUUUCAUAUUCUACUUCAAUUUUCUCUUUCUAAUGUCCAUGACAGCAUUAUGUUUUGCUUUUGUGAGGCUGGAGGAGGCAGUAGGGAUGUUUAUCAUGGGAUUCUGAAAAGUGACAUUAAAAUUAGGUCAUUAUUUUGAUCAAAUUUAUUAAAGUGUUUGAAAGGUAUUCUUAAAUGUGAUAGUUUUUGUCAUGGUAAAUUCCACCAGGUUUUGCAGAAAUAUACAUUUUAGAACACCUCCAGAUUUACAGCGGUGGGAAAAUAAUAUAAGGGAAACAAAAUACUUUUUUUUGUUGAAUUAAGAGGUGGAAAGAUUGAUUAAUCUGUUGCAUCACAAGGACAACAAAGUGUAAAAAAAAAAAAAACAGACAGAUUCAAUAAGCAUUUGCUGAAAAUGACAGAAAAGUUUUGACGAGACUUUGCUAAAUCUCUGUUAUGGUUAUUUUUUUAUCAUACAAAAAAAG